AACCUACCAAUAGCGACAUCCGCUGGCAGCUGACAAUUGGCAAUAGCUCCUUGGUGGGGGGUGUGUGGCCUCAGCAGGGGGCGGGGCCUCAACAGUGGUGUGGCCUUGGUCUUCCCUUUCCAUGGAACUUUUAAGACUUGACCUUAUGCAAGGUGACCACAGCUGCUGGCCAUGCUGCCUCCCGAAGUUAGCAUUUCACAACUAUCUUUCCCAUCCGCAGGCUCUUUUGUUGAACAUUUUCUCUUAAACUAUAAGAACAUUUUAUCUGGAAGAAUCACUUGGAGGUGACUCAAUAUGGAUUAUGCACCGAGGCUCAGUGAGGUACCACAGCGAGCCCAAGCUUCCUUGCUCAGUGCAAAAACCGAAACGGAACCACCACUAACAACAGAACGAAAACGAAAGAAAAACAAACAAUACUAGCAGGAAAACCAGAGACAAAGGUGAGUGCAGCACAGAGAAACCUUAUUUACUGGGCUUUUACUGGGCAUCUGUCAUAUUCCAGGGACCCUAGGAAAUAUUUACUAAAAACUUUUUUUUUUACUAUUUAUUUGCUGUGUAAGGUAUAAGCGUAUGUAUCCACGUGACUCUGUAUGUGUAUGGAUGCCCAUAUGUGUGUGCGCAAAUGUGUACGCAUGUAUGUGGAGGCUUAUUCCCAAGGUUGAUGUUGGGAAUCAUUCUUGAUCACUUUUAUACCUUAUUAAUGGAGGCAGCGUUUUCCAGGCAAACCCAGAGCUUAGGAAUGUGGCUAAUUUUCGUAUCCGGCCUUCCAGAUCCCCCAGUCUCUGCUUUCUGAAGCUAGAAUCACAUCCAGGCUGCAAUGCUUGACGGAUGUGUACUCGGGUUUCUGGGGAUCUGAACUCUGGUCCUCAUGCUUGGGUAGCAUUAACCACUGAGCAGUCUUCCCAGUCCUGCGGGACACUUCGGUGCACAAAACUUCUCUGGGUCUGGAGCAGAACCCUCAAGAAAGCAUUGGUAACUCCACUUUACAGAGAAAUGGAGGGUCGUGGAGCGAACUGGGUUAUCUGAGUGAAGCAUUAAACUCUCUUUCAGGGCAUCUCUAAGGCGGGCUUUUGUCUAAAGGACCCAGACAGGAUAUCGGGUGUAGCUUCUAGACAAGUGCCCAAAUCUCCUUCUCCCCCUACCUCCGAGACACCCAUGCAACCCACAACCCCGGCAGAGUCUGUUUCUGAUGACCGCCACAUCCCCUGCCUGGCUCAUUCCAUCUCUCUGCAUGCCUCAGCCUGCAAAAUGCCAGCAGACCUAGCUAAUGUUCCUGAACGGCCCCUUCUGAGAGACUCGGACAACAGCCUAGUUAUCUCCGACCAAUAGCAGGCCAGCUCCCCGCUUGGGCACCUCAUCUAGAUGCAUUUCAGUUUUUCAGGAGUGUCAACCAGGCCUCCGAGAGCUGCUGUGAAGGUAAUUAGGAAAUUUGGCCAUGGAGACCCUGCUCUCCUACUCCGUGGGAGUGAAAGAGGGGUGACGCAGGGCUCACAGGUACCACUCUCCGCCCCCAGCAGCUGGCCGAAUCAUGCAGCUGGGAGAAAAAUCACAGCCCCAGGUGAGAAGGGAGGGGACAGGGACGGAAGGGAAGGCGCUGCCAUAGAACUCUGGACUGUGUAGUUAAUUUCCUAUCUGUCUUUAAAAGAAGCUAGAGGCUGGGUGAGGUUGCCUUCUCUCCUUUCCUCCAGUCACAGCCCUUUCCUGUUUGCCUCUUUCGUUUCCAGACUCUCCCACAAUCGGUGAACACAGAUAUAUUAAGAUGCCAUUAUGGCUCCUCUAUCCACCAAACCCAGAGCCCAUCUUUGCUGCCUCCCUUUUCUUUUUGUUAAUUUGUUAAAUGUCACGUGCUGUAUCUAUGUAUCCUGUUUGCCAUUGGUUGUUGGCUCUUCCCUGAGGCCACUGUAUGGCCAGGGUUUGCCUCCAUGUCUGACAUCCUCUUUCCAGGAAGGUCUUUUCUGAACGCCUCUCUGUAUCUACGUGACAACCUCUCACAUCCAGUAGAACACACCCCCUCAACACUUUCCAAGCAUUUAUCUUGGUGUGCCAUUCCUUUGCUGCUUGAUAUUUUAUGGGGUGUCUUCUAACACUGGAAGAGGAGCCAGGCAAGCCUAGAGACUUUUCUUGUCUGCCCAUCACGGGGUUCCCAUCACCAGGACAGGGGUGAAAACGUCACCUGUUAAAUGCGUGAACAAAUGCUGGGUGUGAAGCUGAUUGAUUUAUAAAUCAUCUCUUGUUGCUCCUCUCCACAUGUACUGUUCAGCGUUCUUUCACCCUCAGUUUAUUGGAGAGCAGCCUGAGAGACCAACUGUUUACACAGACCACUCUGUCUCCCACUGCCAGGACUCAAUCAACAAGCAACUCCUCCAAGAAAUAAGUUUACUCCGGCUUCUGGCUCAGGACCAACUGGAGACUCUCAAGUGUGCAUUUGCCACGGAUCAGGCAGGAUGCUCAUCGAGAGGAGCCUCUGCCAGCAUCUGUUGCUGAACCCCAGUCGGGGCAUGCCUAACGUCGUCUUGGUCUUCUGCUGUAAGCCUCUUCCAUCCCUCUGCCUUCCUCUGCAUCUGGUUAGAUUCAAGCGUUGCGACUGACCCCGUCGUUAUAGAAAACCUUGAGCAAAUGGCUUUUAUUUGUUCAUAUUUGGGUGGUCUUUGCGUGUUUACCCUAAGUGGUGGUUUGAAUGAGAAUGGCCCACACAGGCUCAAGUGUUUGAAUGUUUGGUGGAACUGUUCGGGAAAGAUUAGGAGGUGUGGCCUUGGGGGAGAGGUGUGUCAGUGGGGUUGAGGUUUGAGAGAGCUUCCGUUCCCAGUUAGCUCUCUGCCUCAUGCUUGUGGAUCAGGAUGUAAGCUCUCAGGUACUGCUCCAGCACUGCGCCUGCCUGCCUGCUGCCUGCUGCCAUGUUGUUCACCAUGACAGGAUGGAUUUUAAGCCUCCGAAACUCUAAACCCCCAAUAAACUCUUCCUUUU